rnacentral:rRNA from 1 species
CACCGCGGUUAUACGAGAGACCCUAGUUGAUUAACAUCGGCGUAAAGGGUGGUUAAGAAUUGCAUCAAAUAAAGCCAAAAACUUCCCAAGCUGUCGCACGCACCACGGAAACAAUAAAGCCCAAACACGAAAGUAGCUUUAAAUUACUGACGCCACGAAAGCUAAGAAA